CCGGCGCCAUCUUGGGAGUGACGGUUGGGAGAUUCCGAGCCCCUGGCGAGUAAGAACAAGGCGCACUGUACCUUCCUCUUUCACAAGCAUCCAGCUAUGGCCAACAGACCUGCUUCUUCCUUCCCGGCACUGCUGCUUGGUGCAGUGGUCUGAGCUGAGAUCCGCCCACCAAAGUCACUGAUCUCAGCCGUGUAACAUCUGGAACAAAUCCUCAACGCCCAGACAUCACACUCACUUAAGUCAGGCAUCUUUAUUUCACAAGUCAAAGUGUCAGCAGACAAAAAGCCAAGCCUUCUGCAAGGAAUCUUCUCCCCAAAACCAUAGCACAUACAGAUCCCUCCAGUCUCCACCGCAUCCUUCUUUACCCACGUCAGCUUCCGGGCCAGUUACUCAAAGGCUGUAAAGUUCUGCUUGAGGACUAGGCUAGGUGUUACACAAUCCUUCCAUAAACUUUCUCUCCCACCCAACCACCCUGCCUUUCGUUCU
rnacentral:lncRNA from 1 species